AGAGUUUGAUCCUGGCUCAGAUUGAACGCUGGCGGAAUGCUUUACACAUGCAAGUCGAACGGCAGCACGGGGCAACCUGGUGGCGAGUGGCGAACGGGUGAGUAAUACAUCGGAACGUGCCCAAUCGUGGGGGAUAACGUAGCGAAAGUUACGCUAAUACCGCAUACGAUCUACGGAUGAAAGCGGGGGAUCGCAAGACCUCGCGCGAAUGGAGCGGCCGAUGUCAGAUUAGGUAGUUGGGUGGGGUAAAGGCUCACCAAGCCGACGAUCUGUAGCUGGUCUGAGAGGACGACCAGCCACACUGGGACUGAGACACGGCCCAGACUCCUACGGGAGGCAGCAGGUGGGGAAUUUUGGACAAUGGGCGCAAGCCUGAUCCAGCCAUUCCGCGUGCAGGAUGAAGGCCCUUCGGGUUGUAAACUGUCUUUUGUACGGAACGAAACGGUUCUCUCUAAUACAGGGGGCUAAUGACGGUACCGUAAGAAUAAGCACCGGCUAACUACGUG
rnacentral:rRNA from 1 species